ensembl:piRNA 21ur-15614 ncRNA
CGGUUCUCGGUGAUUGUGGAA